rnacentral:lncRNA from 1 species
GGUACUCUUGAAGAAUAUGCCACAGUGUUGCCAUUCAAGUUGCCAUGAAGGAAGCAGUGCGCAGCGGAGAUUGUGCUGGUAGGGGCAGAGGCCCAGGAUCCAGACAAUGGUGCACAAAUUACAGUGAAGUCAGUGGACUUCGGGAGCUACUAGGCAACGGACUGUCCUAGAGCGGUGCUUCAUCUAGGUGUGACCCAAGAGUGGGUGGAUGAAGGUCGAU